UCCGGUUUAACACCGGCAGUCUCGUUAGAGUGCCCGGCCGAACCGCUGGCAACUAACGACAAGGGUUGCGCUCGUUGCGGGACUUAACCCAACAUCUCACGACACGAGCUGACGACAGCCAUGCAGCACCUAACCACAGGUUCUCCGAAGAGCACCCCGACUUUUCAACCAGGUUCCUGUGUUUUCUAGCCCAGGUAAGGUUCUUCGCGUUGCGUCGAAUUAAACCACAUGCUCCACCGCUUGUGCGGGCCCCCGUCAAUUCCUUUGAGUUUAAGCCUUGCGGCCGUACUCCCCAGGCGGUCAACUUCACGCGUUAGCUUCGUUACCAAGGAAUUACUUCCCCGACAACCAGUUGACAUCGUUUAGGGCGUGGACUAC
rnacentral:misc_RNA from 1 species